rnacentral:rRNA from 1 species
CGUGAGGCGGAGCUAAUCCCUUAAAGCCAUUCUCAGUUCGGAUUGUAGGCUGAAACUCGCCUACAUGAAGCUGGAGUUACUAGUAAUCGCAGAUCAGAAUGCUGCGGUGAAUGCGUUCCCGGGUCUUGUACACACCGCCCGUCACACCACGGAAGUUGGGGGCGCCCGAAGCCACUUAGCUAACCCUUUUGGGAAGCGAGUGUCGAAGGUGAAAUCAAUAACUGGGGUGAAGUCGUAACAAGGUAUC